CCUCGAACAAGAAUCAGAUCAAAUGGAGUUCAGAUGCAAGAGUUAUCUAAUUUACAAAACCGGUGAUCUUCAGUUCUCGCAAAUUUGGGCCGUACGGAUCGUCAAGCCCACGUCUUGAUCCUUACCACCAUGGACCAGAACGACCAGAAUGAACCUGGACAGUAGUCGAAGGGUCUCCUUGACCAGUCCACAGUGGCGGAUGCAGAAACAAAUUUAAUAGGGGGCACACAAAAAAUUUGAUUGUAUUUUGUUUUUGAGUUGGGGGCACUUAUAUACAAUAUAUAGCAUUUGUUAAAGAAAAUUUAAAAGUUAGUCGGGGGCACUUGCCCUCGUACGUUAUGCUCUCCGUCCGCCACUGCCAGUCCACCUCAAACUCAGCAACUUUGACUCAUUUAUUAUUUUCUAGUCAAAUUUCUCAUUUCCUAGAUGUGUGAUUCCCACAAAUAAUUAUGUCUUUCUUUGACCACAUCUAGUAUAAAUAUGUAAACUCUUUUAUGAAUAAAAUCAAUCUAUGUUUUUGAGUUUAUUUUCGUUUCUUCUCUGACUGAGAGAGAGUUCUUUAGCUAGUUCAUUGGUGUGAACCUGCUUGUUGAUUUGGUGGUCAGCCAAUUCAUCUUUGUGUGUUGUUUGGUGGUUAGCAAAUACAUUAAUUCUUUCUUAGGAGUUAGCCUUAGAUCGUGGGUAUAUCAAGAGCCAUUCCGCAUCUCUUGACGAUCCUUUCAAUCCAUCUCAGUUCCAGAAGUGUCAUUGCUUUCUCGGAUCAUAUCCAACGCCCAGCUAAAAUGAUCCUUCCCCGAUUUAGGGCUUAUCAAGUGGUAUCAGAGCCACUUUGGCUGGUUUGUUUUCUUUCAUCUUUCAUCUUCUCAUCUCUCCACAUUUUUCUUUUCUUAUUUCUUGGAUCCGGGCUGUUCCUUUACUCCCUUGUGAUCGCCUAUUAUAAAAAAAAAAAUCGAUUAAAAAAAAGUUUUGGCUUGAAUCACUUCUGAAGAGAAAUCCAGGAGGAGUGGUGGAAGAGAAACCCUGCUGGCUAAAGAGAAACCCAGCCUUAGGACAGUUAAGGCAAAUCCAUAAAAAUCUUUUGUUUUGCCCGGUGCGCUACUCAAGGGCGCAUCAUUCCCUCUCUCUUUAAAAGGAUUUGUCCUCAAAUCCAUUUUACCUUAAUCAAAAGAAAAUGAAUCAGACAAAAAGACACUGGGAAUACAUCAGCAGCUUCACUUUUUAGAGGCUACGCAAAGGUUGAACGUUUGACCAUGGCUGAUCACAACGAGUUUAUCAUCACUACUCCAUCUCAGGAGAUUGACUUCGUUUGCCUGCACCGGGAAGGUCAACGGCAUCGAGAUGGACUAAGGGUGGUGUUAAGUUUCUUGCUCCAAGUGUACCAAGAAACAGCAGUGGACUGUCUCAUCCUUUACCUACGUGCACUACUAAUGUUGUUGGUGUCCUCCGGUAUGUAUCAUUCAGUAACAUUUUAUUAUCAAUCACUUGCACCAAAAGUCCACACACGCAGAUAUACCCUUUGAUUUUAAAUGCAUGUUUGCUGACUGAUAUCAUGUGGAGAUGACCAUUGCUAAUGAUACUGCUGAAGGUCUAUUUGAUGGUUUUGAUUGGGAAAUGACAAAACUUACAUAAAAUCAGUGCCUGUGAAGCUGGUUCUGUUGGUUGGAGAGUUUGUGAACUCAUAGGAAACUCAGGUCCCCCCAUUUUUUGCAGACAUGCAGGAAGCACCGACUACUGGAGCAGCUCCAAGUGGUGCCGACAAUAAGAAGCCUCCAGCUGGAGCAGCUUCCAAGAUGGCCAAGAAAGCAUGGAUGGCAUAGGUUAAGAUAAUAAGAGCUCUGGAUGCAGUAUUUCCUCUUUAAAUAAUGCUAACACAUCAGUGUUUCUUUACAAUUUUAGUUUUGUUAUCCCCCUCUGGAGCUAUGUUUGGUUCGGACAAUCUUUAUAAAAUUUAAGUUCUUUUUUAAAA